UGGCGCUGGCAGCUGCUGGUGGCGACUGCUGACUGCUGGAAUAAGAGGAGACUGGAGGCUGCGGACAGUGUGCUGGGAAUGGAGAGGCCGAGUACAUCCAUGGCAACCAGUAAGGUGUUCGUCAGUGGCCUAGAUGGUAUGACCUUAGGUGAGGUCUGCUGUGUGGAAAUCGCCUUCUUGGUCUGACUCUUGCUGCCAAGGUACCCCUUAUUACGGCUGUUUGCCUUCCUCUCAGCUCCGAUGCACUUUGAGUGAAUCCUUAACCUUAGCCUGAUAUAUGUUGAAAGGAUUUUUUUUUUCAGCUCAUGGCAUGAGGGAAGGUUGCUGUCCAGACUCAUGGCCUCUCUUUCCAGCUGUUCCACUACGUUGGAGGAUUCCAUAAGGGAAUCACUCGUCUUGGAACGGAAGAGCUGCUCCACGUGCUGCAGGAGAGUGAACAGCUCAUCGGAUGGCCGUGCACAUUGGCAUUCCUCACAGAGCGAGAAGCUGAUGACCCUCUUCGCUAUGUAUCCUGCCAGGUGGUAGAGGACACAAGACUCGGUCUUUGUGAGGUCAGGUGGUGAUGGAUCUACCAGCUUCUCCACUCUGACAACCUCAGAAGCACUGCAGUUGCUGUUCUUGUUGUCCAAGAAGUCCGCCAAGUGGUCUGAUGCAUCAUCCAGAUCUUGCUGGACCAGCAGUAUCGUUGUUGUGGCCAUCACAGGUUUCAGUGGAGCGCCCCCCCCCCCAAAAAAAAUGGUUACGAUACCUGUUCUUAACGCCUGUUUACACAUUUGUUGUUCUUGUUCACACAUACUGUACGUAUGUUUGUUGAUAUUAUUCAUGCUUGUUCC